rnacentral:tRNA from 1 species
GCUAGCGUAGCUUAAUAUAAAGCAUAGCACUGAAGAUGCUAAAAUGGACCCUAAAAAGCCCCGCAUGCA